UAAAACUGUAAUCAAUCUAUGCUUUGAAUAUAAUUUAUAUAAAUACAUAUUUUUCUUUUCAGAUCCAUGCUGCUGCCAAUCUUCAACUGAAAAACUUGACAACGAAUAAACAAAUAAUCGCAGGACUUUGCCCAACCUCACACUCAGAAUGCAAAUGGAAGACUUUAUAAAGUCUGGCUUUUGUGCGAGCGAACGGACAUAAUCUUUUGCGAAAUUAUCACAGAAAUUGCACAAAGCAGAUACAACUGCAGACAGCAGCUUGUAAUUGUCAUCCUCAUGUCAGAUGCAUGUAACAAUUAUUUGAAUUGACCAAAGAAGGCAAUAUGCGAAGAGAGAUGGAACAGAAUAUAAAUGAAGACAAGGAGAGAGAAGGAACGCGGAGCGAGAGAGAGGGAAAGAGAGGGAAAGAGAGGGAGACACACUGUCCAAUUCAGUUCAUGGCAAAUUAUGCCAUUAGGUUGCCAUGUCCAAAUUUGCUCAAUGAACUGUGUUAAAUUUGUUGACUAAUUGCGUGUGUCCUGUGCGCUGCUCCUGACUGACCCAAACACUAGGAUGCUGCAAAAACUGACACGAGCCUGAUAUAAAAAUUAAUUGGAUUUAUAUAUUGUGGGUGCAGAGACAUCGAAAGGCUGAUUACGGGAGAGGGAUAGUGGCACAUAUACGGAAAUAUCUGUCUU
rnacentral:sRNA from 1 species